AGAGAGGUGGCUCAGUGGUUAAGAGCACUGACUGAUGUUACAGAGGAACCGGGUUCAAUUCCCAGGUUGCUCCG
rfam:Neotoma lepida isolate 417 scaffold_23041, whole genome shotgun sequence.